rnacentral:rRNA from 1 species
GACGGAGGGAGCAAGCGUUGUUCGGAUUUACUGGGCGUAAAGGGCGUCUAGGCGGGUUGGUCAGUCAGAUGUGAAACCCCCCGGCUCAACCGGGGAUCUGCAUUUGAUACUGCCGAUCUUGAGUACGGAAGAGGAAAGCGGAAUUCCUGGUGUAGCGGUGAAAUGCGUAGAUAUCAGGAAGAACACCGGUGGCGAAGGCGGCUUUCUGGUCCGAUACUGACGCUAAAGCGCGAAAGUGUGGGGAGCAAACAGGAUUAGAAACCCCUGUAGUCC